rnacentral:rRNA from 1 species
ACGGGAGGCAGCAGUGGGGAGUAUUGGACAAUGGGGGAAACCCUGAUCCAGCGACGCCGCGUGAGUGAAGAAGUAUUUCGGUAUGUAAAGCUCUAUCAGCAAGGAAGAAAAUGACGGUACUUGACUAAGAAGCUCCGGCUAAAUACGUGCCAGCAGCCGCGGUAAUACGUAUGGAGCAAGCGUUAUCCGGAUUUACUGGGUGUAAAGGGAGCGUAGACGGCAAAGCAAGUCUGAAGUGAAAUGCCGGGGCUUAACCCCGGAACUGCUUUGGAAACUGUUUAGCUAGAGUACAGGAGAGGUAAGCGGAAUUCCUAGUGUAGCGGUGAAAUGCGUAGAUAUUAGGAGGAACACCAGUGGCGAAGGCGGCUUACUGGACUGUAACUGACGUUGAGGCUCGAAAGCGUGGGGAGCAAACAGGAUUAGAUACCCUGGUA